GCUGGCGACUCCUCCGAGGAGUGCCCUAGGUGCCGACGCCGCACCUCUCUUCCUCUUCUCCUUUCGGCAUCUGAGCCCUAGCAGCGGCCGACUCUCUGUGCCAGCACCCGAGCCCUAGUGCCGUCGCUGUGCUAUAGCGAGCCCGACGCCACUCCUUGCCACUGCCGCUGCACACUUUGCCCCAGUGCCGAACCGACCCUUUCUUCUGCCCUAGCCGAGCCUCACAUUGGCGUGAGUUGCUGCCCUGGAUUCUACCGAGCUUUGGCAUUAGGAUCAGUGGCUCACUCUAGUUACGACCACGGUUCCAGAAAACAGGUGUUCCAUCGACAAAUUAGCGACGAAGAAUACGAAUUUGGGUGAGCGUGGAUUUAGGACUUUGACGCGAGACGAGUAUCUCGGAGUCAGGAUUUGGACCAUUUUAUCGGAGGC